rnacentral:misc_RNA from 1 species
GGCUAGUGAAAGAAAAAUAGCUAAAGAAAGGUCUUAUGUGCACUUUCACAGUAAAAGAUGAACUGAAAUAUUUAAGUUUCAAGUUAUAAGGUCUAACAACCUUUUAAAAAAGGAAUCAACCAAAUCGGCAGGUUCAUAUUGAUUCAUCCUAUUCAUCAUCGAAUUGUAAGAUUUGGUCAAGAUUCAAGUACCUUUGAGAUUCACCCUAUAGAUUCG